AUAAAUUCAAUCCUUGUGCAAGCAGCUGACAAGUAUUACUUUUCUUUUUGAUCUUAGAGUUACCUUGUUAGGGUCAUGCCACAUCCAGGGCCGAUCUGGGGCCAGUUCUUGGGAAUCUUGUCUUGUGAAGGAGAGAGCAAGCUGCACGGAGUUGGAGUCAGCAUGAUUCUUCAGAUGGCUAGCAUACUGCUUCCUUGGAGGUGA
rnacentral:lncRNA from 1 species